rnacentral:rRNA from 1 species
AUUGAACGCUGGCGGCAGGCCUAACACAUGCAAGUCGAACGAGUGGCGGACGGGUGAGUAAUGUCUGGGAAACUGCCCGAGGGAGGGGGAUAACUACUGGAAACGGUAGCUAAUACCGCAUACCAUCGGAUGUGCCCAGAUGGGAUUAGCUAGUAGGUGGGGUAACGGCUAACCUAGGCGACGAUCCCUACCUGGUCGGAGCGGAGGACCAGCCACACUGGAAGUGAGACACGGUCCAGACGCCUACGGGAGGCAGCAGUGGGGAAUAGUGCACAAUGGGGGCAAGCCUGAUGCAGCCAUGGCGCGUGUGUGAAGAAGGCCUUCGGGUUGUAAAGUAGUUUCAGCGGGGAGGCGUUACUCGCAGAAGAAGCACCGGCUAACUCCGUGCCAGCCGCCGCGGUAAUAC